rnacentral:lncRNA from 1 species
CACUUUUGAAACUGAUAAAGAAGUCUAUGAGGAUAUUUCCUGGCAGACAACAGAGGUAUUUAAGAUGGUGGAAAGGACAAAGACAAAUAUCUGAAAGGCAGAGGAACAGGCAACCAACUGAAUUUUGGAACAGAUGUUGAGAUUUUGGGAGAAUUUAAAUGAACACAAGUAUCUUCUUGAAGGCUGGGAAAAAGUAUUUUCCCGCAAUUUCUCAACCAGACACUGACUCCUAGAACAAGCAUCAGGCCUGGUCCCUCCAUUUCCCCCACCAGACUGUGACCUCUGAGGGCUGGAACUGGGCUUGGUCACCGUGACUACCCUAGACUGUGACCACCAUACUUGUUAUCUCUUUUGUUUUUUUUGAGACAAUCUCGCCCUGUCACCCAGGCUGGAGUGCAGUGGCAUGAUCUCGGCUCUCUCACUCUAUUGCCCAGACUGGAGUGCAGUGGCACAAUCUCUGCUAACUGCAACCUCUGCCUCCCAGGUUCAAGAGAUUCACGUGCCUCAGCCUCCCAAGUACCUGGGAUUACAGACGCGCAACCACGCCCAGCUAAUUUUUGUAUUUUUAGUAGAGACAGGGUCUCACCAUGUUGCCCAGGCUAGUCUCAAACUCCUGGCCUCAAGUGAUAUACCUGCCGUGGCCUCCCAAAGUGGGAUUACAGGCGUAAACCACCAUACCUGGCCCUAUACUCUCUUAUUUUAUUUUAUUUUAUUUAUUUAUUUUGAAACAGGGUUUCCCUCUGUCACCCAGGCUGGGGUGCAAUGGCGCGAUCUCAGCUCACUGCAACCUCCGCCUCCCGGGUUCAAGCGAUUCUCCUGCCUCAGCCUCCUGAGUAUAUGGGAUUACAGGCAUGUGCCACCAUGCCUGGCAAAUUUUAGGUACUUUUCUUUUUUUUUAUAUGGAGUCUCGCUCUUUUGCCCAAGCUGGAGUGCAGUGGCACGGUCUCGGCUCACUGCAACCUCCACCUCCCAGGCUCAAGCAAUUCUCCUGCCUCAGCCUCCCGAGUAGCUGGGAUUACAGGCACCUGUCACCGCGCCUGGCUAAUUUUUGUAUUUUUAUUAGAGACAGGAUUUUACCAUGUUGGUCAGGCUGGUCUCAAACUCCUGACCUCAUGAUCUGCCCACUUCGGCCUCCCAAAGUGCUGAAAUUACAGGGGUGAGCUACUGUGCCCGGCCUUUUUUUUUUUUUUUUAAAGACAGAGUCUCGCUCUGUCGUCCAGGCUGGAGUGCAAUGGUGCGAUCUCGGCUCACUGCAACCUCUGCCUCCCAGGUUCAAGUGAUUCUCCUGCCUCAGCCUCGCAAGCAGCUGGGAUUACAGACAUGUGCCACUACUGCUCAGCUAAUUUUUGUAUUUUUAGUAGAGAUGGGGUUUCACCAUGUUGGUCAGGCUGAUCUCGCAUUCCUGACCUCAGAUGAUUCGCCCGCCUCGGCCUCCCAAAUUGUUGGGAUUACAGGCAUGAGCCACCGUGCCUGGCCUCUUCUUUAUUUUUUAAACGUAACAUGUAAUGCCCAGAGGUUUUUUUUGGGGGGGGAAGGGGGUACAGGGUCUCACUGUCACCCAGACUGGAGUGCAGUGGCAUGAUCUUGGCUCACCACAACCUCCAACUCCCAGGUUCAAGCGAUUCUCCUGCCUCAGCCUCCCGAGUAGCUGGGAUUACAGACACAUGCCACUACUGCCCGGCUAAUUUUUGUAUUUUUAGUAGAGAUGGGUUUUCACCAUGUUGGCCAGACUGGUUUUGAACUCCUGAUCUCAAAUGAUCCAACUGCCUCGGCCUCCCAAAGUGCUGGGAUUACAGGUGUGAGCCACUGCACCUGGCCUCCCACAGGUGUGUUUUUUUGUUUUUGUUUUUGUUUUUGUUUGAGGCGAAUCUCACUCUGUCGCCCAGGCUGGAGUGCAGUGGUGGGAUCUUGGCUCAUUGCAACCUCCGGCUCCUGGGUUCAAGCCAUUCUCCUGCCCUAGCCUCCCAAGUAGCUGGGACUACAGGCGCACACCACCACGCCCGGCUAAUUUUUUUGUAUUUUUAGUAGAGACGGGGUUUCACCAUGUUAGCCAGGAUGGUCUUGAUCUCCUGACCUCGUGAUCCACCUGCCUCAGCCUCCCAAAGUGCUGGGAUUACAGGCGUGAGCCACCGUACCUGGCCUCCCAGAGGUUUUUUAACAGUUUUUCUGAAAUAAUUUUAGAUUUACAGAAGAGUUGCAUCACCAUUAGUGAGCUUUCAUACCUGUCACCCACCUCCCCCUAAUGUUAACAUUCUGCGUAACCAUGGCACAUUUAUCAGUGCUAAGAAAAUAACAUUGGGCUGGGCGCGGCGGCUCACGCCUGUAAUUCCAGCACUUUGGCAGGGCCUGUAAUUCCAGCACUUUGGGAGGCUGAGGCGGGCAGAUCACGAGGUCAGGAGUUUGAGACCAGCCUGACCAACAUGGUGAAACCCUAUCUCUACUAAAAAUACAAAAAUUAGCUGGGUGUGCUGGCGGGUGCCUGUAAUCCCAGCUACUCAGGAGGCUAAGGUGGGAGAAUUGCUUGAACCCAGGAGGUGGAGGUUGCAGUAAGCUGAGAUCGCAUCACUGCACUCCAGCCUGGGCGACAGAGCAAGACUCCAUCUCAAAAAAAAUAAAAAAUAAAAAAAAAAAAAUAAGAUUGGUAGAGUACUAUUAACUUCAGUCUUUAUUUGGAUUUCACUGGCUUUUCCACUAACGUCUUUUCUGUGCUAGGAUCCAAGUAAGUAUGCCGUACUACUUAUUCCUGUGAAACAAAUGACCACAAUCUUAGUGGCUCCAAACAAUACACAUAAAUUAUCUCUCAGGUUUUGCAAGUCAGGAAUCCAGGCUGGGUUCAGCUGGGUCCUCAGCUUCAGCCUCUCUCACUAAGGCACAAUCGAGGAAGGAGUUGGGCAGGAUUGAGGACUUCUCUGAACGUGGGACCGGGGAAGGAUCUGCUCUGUGCUCCCAUAUUUGUUGGCAGGAUCCGGUUCUCUGCAGCCUGUUGGACAGAGGGCCCCAGUUCCAUGCUGGCUGUUAGCCAGAGGUGCCCACCAUCCACACCAUGUGUGCCUUUCCACGCAGUGGCUCACAGCAUGGUAGUUUGCUUCAUCCAAGCCAGCGAGAGAAAGAGUUGGCUAGC